rnacentral:rRNA from 1 species
AUGUCCGGCUCCGACCUCCAGGGCCGGUGGAUGCCCUCCUCCGUCACGGAGGAAGACAUAUUGAAGCUGCGUGAGGCCAAGUACCUGGCCUUCGAGAUUUCGCACAGGUUGCCUGCUCAAGGGCAGGUUGUGCCGGCCCCCGAGCCCGGUGAAUACGUCGUUUUCGUAUCCCACCUCCGUCGGGGUUUAGGCUUCCCGACGGAUCCCUUUGUGAGAGGGCUCCUGUUCUACUAUGGGCUGGACUUUCACGACUUGGCUCCGGAGUCCAUCCUCCAUAUCUCCGCAUUCAUUAUCGUCUGCGAAGCCUUCCUCCGCGUCAUUCCCCACUUCGGCUUAUGGCUGAAGACCUUCAAGGUGGAGCCGAAGAUGAUCGGGGGGCGUCAAGCGGAGUGCGGCGGGGCGACCAUAAGCAAAAAGGUCGAUGCCCCGUGGCUCGAGGGUUCCUUCCAAGAGGAACUCGGAUUGUGGCAGCAGGAGUGGUUCUAUAUCACCGCUCCAAGGGGCAGCAAGCAAAAGCCGCCGCCCUUAUUCCGC